CGCCAGCUCAAAAACCCAAAUUAGCAUGAAUUUUGUGAACAAGAAGUUCAACAUUGCAAAUCUUUUCCGAGAUGUGUCUCCGGAAGGUGGUGAUUGACUCCGCUGUCCUGGCGUCGUGAGGGACCUUGUUCCACCAUUGGGGUGCCAGAGCAGCGAACAGUUUUGACUGGGCUGAGCGGGAACUGUGCUUCCUCAGAGUGACCUGCUCAAAGGGUUCCAGGACUCUGCACACUUCCUCCACCACCUCCCAUUCCUCUUGGGUCAGAGCAUCAACAGGUCAUUGACAAUGGCCAGGGUAGAGAUGAUGGCAUCCUUUGACUCAAGAAACCGCUUCAACAUAUAAAAUGUUGAAUUCACCUUGUAGUGCAGUCUUGUUUAGGCCUCAGCUCAGGCAUCGCCAUCUGGCGUUGUGUAGACUUUAGUUUUUCAGCACCUACUGUUCUCCUGUGGAAGUAUUCCACAGGUGCUUUCACUUUGUCCACAGAAGGCUUCAUCACCUUCAGAGCAUCUCUUACAAUCAGCUUGAUUGUGUGAGCAAGACAUAGAUGAUGGGUCCAUUUAAAAAUGUCUAUGGCUUUGGUUAUGUUAGCUGCAUUGUCGGUAACACAACAGACUACUUUUCCAUCUACUUGCCAUUCUUUGGCCACUCUCAACAGUUCCUCUGCCAAGUUCUCUGAGUGGUGUCUGUCACUGAACUCAAAGCAGUCCAGAAGACAGCUAGACUGUGAUUUUGAAAGUGAUUUUGAAAGGGUUUUCCUGUUUGGAAUUGUGUACAUUGGAUUUAGAUUAUUGCUAUAAUUUCCAAAACCUCUGUCCUCCAAAAUCGAAAAUGAUUGGAAAUCGGUGGCAAUCAUUUUAGCCA
rnacentral:lncRNA from 1 species